rnacentral:rRNA from 1 species
UGAGGAACAUGACCUUCGGCGGGGGAUAGCCGGCCCAACGGCCGGGUAAUACCGCGUACGACCACUUUGGGACAUCCCUCGGUGGUGAAAGCAGCAAUGCGCCGAUGGAGUGCCUCGCGGCCUAUCAGCUAGUUGGUGAGGUAACGGCUCACCAAGGCGACGACGGGUAGCUGGUCUGAGAGGAUGGCCAGCCACAUUGGGACUGAGACACGGCCCGGACUCCUACGGGAGGNAG